rnacentral:rRNA from 1 species
UGGGGGAUAUUGCGCAAUGGGGGCAACCCUGACGCAGCAACGCCGCGUGAAGGAUGAAGGUUUUCGGAUUGUAAACUUCUUUUAUUAAGGACGAAACUUGACGGUACUUAAUGAAUAAGCUCCGGCUAACUACGUGCCAGCAGCCGCGGUAAUACGUAGGGAGCAAGCGUUGUCCGGAUUUACUGGGUGUAAAGGGUGCGUAGGCGGCUUUGCAAGUCAGAUGUGAAAUCUAUGGGCUCAACCCAUAAACUGCAUUUGAAACUGUAGAGCUUGAGUGAAGUAGAGGCAGGCGGAAUUCCCCGUGUAGCGGUGAAAUGCGUAGAGAUGGGGAGGAACACCAGUGGCGAAGGCGGCCUGCUGGGCUUUAACUGACGCUGAGGCACGAAAGCGUGGGUAGCAAACAGGAUUAGAUACCCUGGUAGUCCACGCUGUAAACGAUGAUUACUAGGUGUGGGGGGUCUGACCCCUUCCGUGCCGGAGUUAACACAAUAAGUAAUCCACCUGGGGAGUACGGCCGCAAGGUUGAAACUCAAAGGAAUUGACGGGGGCCCGCACAAGCAGUGGAGUAUGUGGUUUAAUUCGAAGCAACGCGAAGAACCUUACCAGGUCUUGACAUCCAACUAACGAAGUAGAGAUACAUUAGGUGCCCUUCGGGGAAAGUUGAGACAGGUGGUGCAUGGUUGUCGUCAGCUCGUGUCGUGAGAUGUUGGGUUAAGUCCCGCAACGAGCGCAACCCUUGCUAUUAGUUGCUACGCAAGAGCACUCUAAUAGGACUGCCGUUGACAAAACGGAGGAAGGUGGGGACGACGUCAAAUCAUCAUGCCCCUUAUGACCUGGGCUACACACGUACUACAAUGGACGUUAACAGAGGGAAGCAAGACAGCGAUGUGGAGCAAACCCCUAAAAACAUUCUCAGUUCAGAUUGCAGGCUGCAACCCGCCUGCAUGAAGAUGGAAUUGCUAGUAAUCGCGGAUCAGCAUGCCGCGGUGAAUACGUUCCC